rnacentral:rRNA from 1 species
AUGACCGUGACGCUCGAGGAUGUCUCGUUGAUCACUGGUCUUGCUAUCGAUGGGAGGCCUCUCUGUAUGAGCACCGAUUCUGAUGGGUGGCGCGAGCAGAUGAUUGCUCUUAUUGGUAUGGCUCCUACCGAGGCUGAGGCUGAUGUAGAGGAGGGAGAAGAGAAGAAGAAGAGGGAAAGGAAAGCAGCCGGAGCUGCUUUCACGUGGAUUCAAAAUAACAUUGCGACGUGCCCUCCGGAUGCCACUGAUGAUGUGAUCCAGACACAUGCUCGUGUGUAUAUGUGGUACGUUGUGUCGAGGACUUUGUUUCCUGACUCCACCGGCAAGAACGCUCCAUGGAUGUGGCUGAAGGCGUUGACCGUCUUC